GUGGGGAAUCUUAGACAAUGGGGGAAACCCUGAUCUAGCCAUGCCGCGUGAGCGAUGAAGGCCUUAGGGUUGUAAAGCUCUUUCAGAUGGGAAGAUAAUGACGGUACCAUCAGAAGAAGCCCCGGCUAACUCCGUGCCAGCAGCCGCGGUAAUACGGAGGGGGCUAGCGUUGUUAGGAAUUACUGGGCGUAAAGCGCACGUAGGCGGACCAGAAAGUCAGAGGUGAAAUCCCAGGGCUCAACCUUGGAACUGCCUUUGAAACUCCUGGUCUUGAGGUCGUGAGAGGUGAGUGGAAUUCCGAGUGUAUAGGUGAAAUUCUUAGAUAUUCGGAGGAACACCAGUGGCGAAGGCGGCUCACUGGCUCGAUACUGACGCUGAGGUGCGAAAGCGUGGGGAGCAAACAGGAUUAGAUACCCUUGUAGUCC
rnacentral:rRNA from 1 species